AUUGAACGCUGGCGGCAUGCCUUACACAUGCAAGUCGAACGGUAACAGGUCUUCGGAUGCUGACGAGUGGCGAACGGGUGAGUAAUACAUCGGAACGUGCCUAGUAGUGGGGGAUAACUACUCGAAAGAGUGGCUAAUACCGCAUGAGAUCUACGGAUGAAAGCAGGGGAUCGCAAGACCUUGUGCUACUAGAGCGGCCGAUGGCAGAUUAGGGAGUUGGUGGGAUAAAAGCUUACCAGGCCGACGAUCUGUAGCUGGUCUGAGAGGACGAUCAGCCACACGGGGACUGAGACCAGGCCCAGACUCCUACGGGAGGCCGCAGUGGGGAAUUUUGGACAAGGGGCGAAAGCCUGAUCCAGCAAUGCCGCGUGCAGGAUGAAGGCCUUCGGGUUGUAAACUGCUUUUGUACGGAACGAAAAGCCCCGGGUUAAUACCCUGGGGUCAUGACGGUACCGUAAGAAUAAGCACCGGCUAACUACGUGCCAGCCGCCGCCGUAA
rnacentral:rRNA from 1 species